CCUACGGGAGGCAGCAGUGGGGAAUCUUAGACAAUGGGCGCAAGCCUGAUCUAGCCAUGCCGCGUGAGUGAUGAAGGCCUUAGGGUCGUAAAGCUCUUUCGCCAGAGAUGAUAAUGACAGUAUCUGGUAAAGAAACCCCGGCUAACUCCGUGCCAGCAGCCGCGGUAAU
rnacentral:rRNA from 2 species